rnacentral:rRNA from 1 species
AUACGGAGGAUGCAAGCGUUAUCCGGAUUUAUUGGGUUUAAAGGGUGCGUAGGCGGUUUGCUAAGCGGGAGGUGAAAUGCCGGCGCUCAACGUCGGAAGUGCCUCCCGAACUGGUGGACUUGAAUGACUCUGCCGUGGGAGGAAUGUGUAGUGUAGCGGUGAAAUGCUUAGAGAUUACACAGAACACCGAUUGCGAAGGCAUCUCACGAAGGGUUGAUUGACGCUGAGGCACGAAAGCGUGGGGAUCAAACAGGAUUAGAUACCCUGGUAGUCCACGCAGUAAACGAUGAUGGCUAACCGCUGGGCUUAUCAGUUCAGUGGCCAAGCGAAAGCGAUAAGCCAUCCACCUGGGGAGUACGACCGCAAGGUCGAAACUCAAAUGAAUUGACGGGG